ACACGCAUGACACACUGCAUAUCAAUAAGCGGAGGAAAAGAAACUAACUAGGAUUCCCUUAGUAACGGCGAGUGAAGCGGGAAGAGCUCAAAUUUGAAAUCUUCAAGGGUUUCUACCUUGACGAAUUGUAGUUUAAAGAAGUGUUUUCUGUUAGAGAGGUUGGUAAAAGUUCUUUGGAAUAGGACAUCAUAGAGGGUGAGAAUCCCGUAUUUGAUCACUAUUUCUAGCUACGUUGUGAUACACUUUCAAAGAGUCGGAUUGUUUGGGAAUGCAGUCCAAAAUGGGUGGUAAGUUUCAUCUAAAGCUAAAUAUUGGCGAGAGACCGAUAGCGAACAAGUACCGUGAGGGAAAGAUGAAAAGAACUUUGAAAAGAGAGUUAAACAGUACGUGAAAUUGUCAAAAGGGAAGCGUUUGACACCAGUGUUGGUUUCUCGAAAAUCAAUUAAAAAUGAUGGGAUUUUGUGUUGUGUUGACUUUAUCAGCUUUCUGCACUUUUUUCUUAUCUUUUUUAAUGCACUUUUCGUUUAACAAGUCAACAUCAAUUUCUUUUGUUGUAAAAGAGUCAUCGGAAGGUGGCUUUUUCUUCGGAAAAAGUGUUUAUAGCCUUUGGCUUCUGCAAUCGGAGAGAUUGAGGUCUGCAGCGUAGAUCCUUCGGGGUUAGAUACAUUUGUGCUAAGCUAUAGUUCUUUAUAGACAACUUGUUGACUAUAAUCAAUCCUGUAACUUACUCGCUUAUGCUAUUUUACCUACGCUUAGGAUGUUGAAGACUCUACAGAGAUA
rnacentral:rRNA from 1 species